rnacentral:rRNA from 1 species
AGUCGAGCGCUCUCUUCGGAGGGAGCGGCGGACGGGUUAGUAACGCGUGGGAACAUACCCUUUGGUACGGAAUAGCCUCUGGAAACGGAGAGUAAUACCGUAUGAGCCCUUCGGGGGAAAGAUUUAUCGCCAAAGGAUUGGCCCGCGUUAGAUUAGGUAGUUGGUGGGGUAACGGCCUACCAAGCCUACGAUCUAUAGCUGGUUUUAGAGGAUGAUCAGCAACACUGGGACUGAGACACGGCCCAGACUCCUACGGGAGGCAGCAGUGGGGAAUCUUGGACAAUGGGGGCAACCCUGAUCCAGCCAUGCCGCGUGAGUGAUGAAGGCCUUAGGGUCGUAAAGCUCUUUCGCCUGUGAAGAUAAUGACGGUAGCAGGUAAAGAAACCCCGGCUAACUCCGUGCCAGCAGCCGCGGUAAUACGGAGGGGGUUAGCGUUGUUCGGAAUUACUGGGCGUAAAGCGCACGUAGGCGGACUGGAAAGUUGGGGGUGAAAUCCCAGGGCUCAACCCUGGAACUGCCUCCAAAACUAUCAGUCUAGAGUUCGAGAGAGGUGAGUGGAAUUCCGAGUGUAGAGGUGAAAUUCGUAGAUAUUCGGAGGAACACCAGUGGCGAAGGCGGCUCACUGGCUCGAUACUGACGCUGAGGUGCGAAAGUGUGGGGAGCAAACAGGAUUAGAUACCCUGGUAGUCCACACCGUAAACGAUGAAUGCCAGUCGUCGGGUAGCAUGCUAUUCGGUGACACACCUAACGGAUUAAGCAUUCCGCCUGGGGAGUACGGUCGCAAGAUUAAAACUC